UGCACCUAAGGGCCGUGACGCACCAACCCGAUAAUCAGCCGUCGGACAGUCUCGCAAGGUUGGUGACUCGGGUCUGUUCGGUGUGCUCUGUUGUUGGACUGC